CUUCUCGUCAAUCUCUUGUUAAUACUUUUAAAUCUAAAUUGAUUUUAUACUGCUUGCCAAUGAUUGUUUUGAGAUCACUAUAAAAUGAGUACUACAUACAGACAUCGAGAACCGCUCAAAACAAUGAAGUUCCUGUCACUAAUGGCAGAUCUUUCUUAUAGUCAACUGCAUUUCAACCUGACCAACACCACCAUUUAAAUGACAGAAAGCCAUGUUCAUAUAGCACAGGAAAUCUGAACAUGACAUCACAAAAAAAAAAAAACUUCAGUAACGAAGAUGUGCAUUUAAUAUAUUCACAUUCUAUUUACAAUUAAUACAAAUGUUAAAUCGUCGUAAAAAUGUACCCUAAAAGAGAAUUUUUAUGUACAUCUGUACAGCUUAGUAUUUAAAUAGAAACAUGCGAGUGUUAUUUUUCAACUGGAUGAAGAAAAAAAAAAAAACCAAGGUAUCUCACCCUGGGUAAAGUUAUGAUCACAAAGAAAAUUAAAUAUGGAUUUAAAUCAAUCAGUCAGUCUGAUCCUCUAAAGCAUUACCAUGAACUCUAGUAGAAAAGAUAAAAACGAAAAAAAAAAAAAAAGGACAGCACAACAACAUGUCUGGAGAAGCAAAAAGGCCAUGGGAACAAUCCAUAUUCAUAUGCAGUUACUUUAUCAUCACGAAUCUGGUACAGGAAUCACAUUAGUGCAUGAAUUCAUUUACAUAAAAGCACAAUUAUCAGACCUCACCCCUAAAGCACAAUGUAUUUACUGACUCUCUAAAUCAAAAUGAUGUAUUCUGCAAGGUAGCACAUCAGUGAUAUAUCUAGUCGCCAGCCAUUAAAGCCAUCAGGUUUUAACUGAUGAAAAUUUCAAUUGGCAGGAGUCCUCGUUAGCUACUGAACAAACGAGCAAGAAAAACAUCUGCAUAGACAGAAAAAAAAACAGUUUGGGAGCCAAUUAGAGGAAAGAUUCUAGUGCAAGAGAUGUUACGUUUCCAGCAUUGGAUUGACUUUUCACUUGACCUUCCUCUUUCUGCUGCUAAACCGAUCAAAGUUUCGAUCUGAUUUACUGCGUGUAUAGAUUACGGGUCGGUCUGCGCUAAAAUCACUCUAUGUACAUACAUAAACUGCUAUUCUCAACAGAACACAUAAAUAUAUCCUCACAUGACUGCGGUCUUUUAAAAGAACUGCAACACACAGGUGACUACGACACUAUAAACGCAAACUCAAGACUCACAUUAAAUAUUUAAAUAUGAUAUUUUCAUAUACAAUAGAAAUACGGCUCUCCUCUCGUAUUGCAACCCUGUAUCCAUGCCCAAGAGUGAAAAUGCAACCUGGAACGAAGCGAUUUGCCGUUAUCUAAAUAAAAUCUAUAUUAGGCUGAGCCAAGGUAAUAAAAUACUCCUGCGUUUAAUACCAGAAAAUCAAGAGCGAGAAAGUGACACCUAUGCGAGUGCUACAUUUCGUAUAAAAAUCUUGGCCUGGGAGUUUGUGGUAGUGACGUAUACAAAUAUGACAGGCUUUAAUUCCUUUGUGGCGUCUGUGGAUG